AUUGAACGCUGGCGGCAGGCCUAACACAUGCAAGUCGAGCGGAUGAAGGGAGCUUGCUCCUGGAUUCAGCGGCGGACGGGUGAGUAAUGCCUAGGAAUCUGCCUGGUAGUGGGGGAUAACGUCCGGAAACGGGCGCUAAUACCGCAUACGUCCUGAGGGAGAAAGUGGGGGAUCUUUGGACCUCACGCUAUCAGAUGAGCCUAGGUCGGAUUAGCUAGGUGGUGGGGUAAAGGCCUACCAAGGCGACGAUCCGUAACUGGUCUGAGAGGAUGAUCAGUCACACUGGAACGGAGACCCGGUCCAGACGCCUACGGGAGGCAGCAGUGGGGAAUAUUGGACAAUGGGUGAAAGCCUUAUCCAGCCAUGCCGCGGGUGGGAAGAAGGUCGUCGGAUUGUAAAGCACUUUAAGUUGGGAGGAAGGGCAGUAAGUUAAUACCGUGCUGUUUUGACGUUACCAACAGAAUAAGCACCGGCUAACUUCGUGC
rnacentral:rRNA from 1 species